GGGAAUUGGAGUCAGUUGCUGUUUUGUGAAGAAGAAAGAGUUAGUGGUCUGAGGAGGUGCCCACAAGAAACACCAAGAAGGUAUGAAACUUUUGUGAUAAGGAGACAACAGUAUGGACCCCAUGCAAUAAGGUGGCAAAAAGAUGCUCUAUCCCCCUUAAGUGGCCACAGCUCUAGCUUUCUCCUGCAGUCGAGGUGAGAAUUCCCAGAACACUGCUGAGCAACAUCUCUUUGUCUCUCUCCUCUCGUGCUCUAAUGGUGCACUGUCACAAGUGAGCCAUCUAUUAAGAAAAAACACUUCUUAGGAAGUAACAAGCUACUUCAGCAAAAAAGGGUGACUUAAAAUCGUCAAGAAGGUCCACUGGAGGAGCUUUCUUUUGUGGGGGUGCUGUUCUUUCUCAGGUUCCCCUCCCUUGCAUGUGGGCCAUUUGUUGGCUGGCUCCUCUCCUAGGAAAAGCUGCAGGGUAUCUAUCUCCUCGAUCAUCUUGUUCCCGGCCAGCAGAACAGCCGAGUCCUGUGGCUUGGACUUGUGCCAUUGCCCUGCAAUUGCCUCCCUGAAGUUUGCUGUGUGGUUUCUUAUCAAUACUGCUUUCAGGCUUGUUUUUCCCAUUGCAGCCUAUUAAGUCAGGCAGCAUUCACUCCAGAAAGUUUAUAAACCAAUACAUUGUUGACUUCUCUGGAAAGGUCAAGAGCAGGCUUUCUAUGACUGUUACUGUUCAGACUUCUUGUAUGGUGCAUAAUAUCUGAGCCUCUCCAAUGCAGAGAAACAAAUACUUCAGCAAUUUUAGUACUUAGUAACUUAAUAUUUAAUGGUUGCUUGAAAUAGUUAUUUAUUUAGAACAUUUAAACUGAUUUCACUAUUAUUUUGUAUAAACAUCCAAAAUAAAUGUUAGGCACUGGGACAUCUUUUUGUUUAAGGAGACAUGAUAAACACUGAUGAAAGAAUCUUUCUUGCAAAAUGUUGCCAAUUAGCAGAAGUGUGUUUUCAUCAUUAAAAGCUAGAAAUAAAUAACAAAAAAUAUGCUUAAAUGGGCUGGUACUUUUGUAGAUGAAAAUAUUUUGUGUGGUGGACUAAAUAAAAGGCAGAUGUCUUUAUAAUUCUUUUGCUAAGGAUAAAAUUUUAUCAGUGUGCCAUUGGAAAUAUAAAACUGCUGUCAGAAAUAAAGCCAAGUGUCUUCACCUCUUA